rnacentral:rRNA from 1 species
AUUGAACGCUGGCGGCAGGCCUAACACAUGCAAGUCGAACGAGUGGCGGACGGGUGAGUAAUGUCUCGGAAUCUGCCUGAUGGAGGGGGAUAACUACUGGAAACGGUAGCUAAAACCGCAUACCUUCGGAUGCGCCCAGGUGGGAUUAGCUAGUAGGUGGGGUAAAGGACCACCAAGGCGACGGUCCCUACUUGGUCUGAGAGGAUGACCAGCAACACGGGAACGGAGACACGGUACAGACUCCUACGGGAGGCAGGCGUGGGGAAUAUUGCACAAUGGGCGAAAGCCUGAUGGAGCCAUGCCGGGUGUAUGAAGAAGGUCUUCGGGUUGUAAAGCACUUUCAGCGGGGAGGCGUUACCCGCAGAAGAAGCACCGGCUAACUCCGUGCCAGCAGCCGCGGUAAUAC